CCUACGGGAGGCAGCAGUGAGGAAUAUUGGUCAAUGGCCGUAAGGCUGAACCAGCCAAGUCGCGUGAAGGAAGAAGGAUCUAUGGUUUGUAAACUUCUUUUAUAGGGGAAUAAAGGUAUCCACGUGUGGAUAUUUGCAUGUACCCUAUGAAUAAGCACCGGCUAACUCCGUGCCAGCAGCCGCGGUAAUACGGAGGAUGCGAGCGUUAUCCGGAUUUAUUGGGUUUAAAGGGUGGGCAGGCGGAUUGUUAGGUCAGCGGUAAAAUCUUGGGGCUAAACCCCGUCCAGCCGUUGAUACUGGGGAUCUUGAGUGUGCGAGAGGUAUGCGGAAUGCGUGGUGUAGCGGUGAAAUGCGUAGAUAUGACGAAGAACCCCGAUUGCGAAGGCAGCAUACUGGAGCACAACUGACGCUCAGGCACGAAAGCGUGGGUAUCGAACAGGAUUAGAUACCCCUGUAGUC
rnacentral:rRNA from 1 species